rnacentral:rRNA from 1 species
UUAAGCGACUAAGCGUACACGGUGGAUGCCCUGGCAGUCAGAGGCGAUGAAGGACGUGCUAAUCUGCGAAAAGCGCCGGCGAGGUGAUAUGAACCUUUGACCCGGCGAUGUCCGAAUGGGGAAACCCAGUGUGUUUCGACACACUAUCAUUAACUGAAUCCAUAGGUUAAUGAGGCGAACCGGGGGAACUGAAACAUCUAAGUACCCCGAGGAAAAGAAAUCAACCGAGAUUCCCCCAGUAGCGGCGAGCGAACGGGGAGCAGCCCAGAGCCUGAAUCAGCUUGUGUGUUAGUGGAAGCGUCUGGAAAGUCGCGCGAUACAGGGUGACAGCCCCGUACACGAAAGCACACAGGCUGUGAGCUCGAUGAGUAGGGCGGGACACGUGGUAUCCUGUCUGAAUAUGGGGGGACCAUCCUCCAAGGCUAAAUACUCCUGACUGACCGAUAGUGAACCAGUACCGUGAGGGAAAGGCGAAAAGAACCCCGGCGAGGGGAGUGAAAAAGAACCUGAAACCGUGUACGUACAAGCAGUGGGAGCACCUUCGUGGUGUGACUGCGUACCUUUUGUAUAAUGGGUCAGCGACUUAUAUUCUGUAGCAAGGUUAACCGAAUAGGGGAGCCGAAGGGAAACCGAGUCUUAACUGGGCGUUAAGUUGCAGGGUAUAGACCCGAAACCCGGUGAUCUAGCCAUGGGCAGGUUGAAGGUUGGGUAACACUAACUGGAGGACCGAACCGACUAAUGUUGAAAAAUUAGCGGAUGACUUGUGGCUGGGGGUGAAAGGCCAAUCAAACCGGGAGAUAGCUGGUUCUCCCCGAAAGCUAUUUAGGUAGCGCCUCGUGAAUUCAUCUCCGGGGGUAGAGCACUGUUUCGGCUAGGGGGCCAUCCCGGCUUACCAACCCGAUGCAAACUACGAAUACCGGAGAAUGUUAUCACGGGAGACACACGGCGGGUGCUAACGUCCGUCGUGAAGAGGGAAACAACCCAGACCGCCAGCUAAGGUCCCAAAGUCAUGGUUAAGUGGGAAACGAUGUGGGAAGGCACAGACAGCCAGGAUGUUGGCUUAGAAGCAGCCAUCAUUUAAAGAAAGCGUAAUAGCUCACUGGUCGAGUCGGCCUGCGCGGAAGAUGUAACGGGGCUAAACCAUGCACCGAAGCUGCGGCAGCGACACUAUGUGUUGUUGGGUAGGGGAGCGUUCUGUAAGCCUGCGAAGGUGUGCUGUGAGGCAUGCUGGAGGUAUCAGAAGUGCGAAUGCUGACAUAAGUAACGAUAAAGCGGGUGAAAAGCCCGCUCGCCGGAAGACCAAGGGUUCCUGUCCAACGUUAAUCGGGGCAGGGUGAGUCGACCCCUAAGGCGAGGCCGAAAGGCGUAGUCGAUGGGAAACAGGUUAAUAUUCCUGUACUUGGUGUUACUGCGAAGGGGGGACGGAGAAGGCUAUGUUAGCCGGGCGACGGUUGUCCCGGUUUAAGCAUGUAGGCUGAUUAUCCAGGCAAAUCCGGAUAAUCAAGGCUGAGGUGUGAUGACGAGUCACUACGGUGAUGAAGUAACAAAUGCCCUGCUUCCAGGAAAAGCCUCUAAGCAUCAGGUAACACGAAAUCGUACCCCAAACCGACACAGGUGGUCAGGUAGAGAAUACCAAGGCGCUUGAGAGAACUCGGGUGAAGGAACUAGGCAAAAUGGUGCCGUAACUUCGGGAGAAGGCACGCUGAUAUGUAGGUGAAGUCCCUGCGGACGGAGCUGAAAUCAGUCGAAGAUACCAGCUGGCUGCAACUGUUUAUUAAAAACACAGCACUGUGCAAACACGAAAGUGGACGUAUACGGUGUGACGCCUGCCCGGUGCCGGAAGGUUAAUUGAUGGGGUUAUCCGUAAGGAGAAGCUCUUGAUCGAAGCCCCGGUAAACGGCGGCCGUAACUAUAACGGUCCUAAGGUAGCGAAAUUCCUUGUCGGGUAAGUUCCGACCUGCACGAAUGGCGUAAUGAUGGCCAGGCUGUCUCCACCCGAGACUCAGUGAAAUUGAACUCGCUGUGAAGAUGCAGUGUACCCGCGGCAAGACGGAAAGACCCCGUGAACCUUUACUAUAGCUUGACACUGAACAUUGAGCCUUGAUGUGUAGGAUAGGUGGGAGGCUUUGAAGUGUGGACGCCAGUCUGCAUGGAGCCAACCUUGAAAUACCACCCUUUAAUGUUUGAUGUUCUAACGUGGACCCGUGAUCCGGGUUGCGGACAGUGUCUGGUGGGUAGUUUGACUGGGGCGGUCUCCUCCCAAAGAGUAACGGAGGAGCACGAAGGUUGGCUAAUCCUGGUCGGACAUCAGGAGGUUAGUGCAAUGGCAUAAGCCAGCUUGACUGCGAGCGUGACGGCGCGAGCAGGUGCGAAAGCAGGUCAUAGUGAUCCGGUGGUUCUGAAUGGAAGGGCCAUCGCUCAACGGAUAAAAGGUACUCCGGGGAUAACAGGCUGAUACCGCCCAAGAGUUCAUAUCGACGGCGGUGUUUGGCACCUCGAUGUCGGCUCAUCACAUCCUGGGGCUGAAGUAGGUCCCAAGGGUAUGGCUGUUCGCCAUUUAAAGUGGUACGCGAGCUGGGUUUAGAACGUCGUGAGACAGUUCGGUCCCUAUCUGCCGUGGGCG